CUUUAUUUAGCUGUGAACCAGACCUCCAUCAAAGCAGAUAUUUUCUUUAGCCAUCACUCUCUUUUUUUUGACCUGUGCAGAGAACAACAGACUUAUAACUCUCAGCAAGAAGAAGGUGCAAGAAGAUAGUGCAAGCCAACUUCCCCCUCUGAACCUUUCUCUGUCUUUUCCUCUUGUCCUCUUCCUCCCCCCUUCUGCUCUUCUCUGCUUUCUGGAGCCCUGAAGUCAGAUUUCCGACUCGAAAAGUCGGACGAUCCUCACCAACCCCGACAAGGUCAUAAUCCAAGAUGGCAUCGCAGUGCAUCAACAGCAAAAAGUAACAGUUAAAGCUCUCGUAAUGUAUUAUUUAUUAGCACUUCUGUUUUGUUUUUGUGAAAUUAAAUAAGUGGUGUAUGUUGUACUGUCCAAUGUCUAACUGUGAACAUGGUGCUAUGGUGUUCGCAAGAGUAAAAUACUGUCAUGCAAUGUUUAUAACUGGUAUCGCUAACAACAACUAACAACCGCUGACAAUGGCUAACAAUAGUUGACAACCGCUAACAACAACCGACAACGGCUAACAAUAGUUGACAAUCGCUAACAACAACUGACAACGGCUAACAAUAGUUGACAACGGCUAACAACAACUGACAAUGGCUAACAAUAGUUGACAACCGCUAACAACAGCUGACAACGGCUAACAAUAGUUGACAACGGCUAACAAUAGUUGACAACCGCUAACAACAACUGACAAUGGCUAACAAUAGUUGACAACCGCUAGCAACAGCUGACAACGGCUAACAAUAGUUGACAACGGCUAACAAUAGUCGACAUCCGCUAGCAACAGCUGACAACUGCUAACAAUAGAUGACGACUGCCAACAACAGCUGACAAUGGCUAAUGACAGCUGACAAUUGUUAACAACAACGGCUAACAGCAGGUAUCCAUCUUGGUUUUUCGACUUGUUUACUGGAUCACUAUCUUCUCAGGUGUAUCAUUAUUCCAAGCUCCAACUCCAAAGGUAACUGCAACACAGUAUAAGUAGUUGUAUUUUCAUAAGUACACAAGGUCCUCUGCACAUUUGUCCAUAUGAAACCCAUAUUCACAAACAAAUGAGUCCCCACUUUCAAGCAAGCAAAUUUAUGAUCUGACUGCCUGCGAAGGACAAUGUUUAUGCAACUUAUCAAGGUUCUUGUCAGAAUACUGAAAGGCUUCAGAAGCUUUUCUUUAACUGUGCUAUUAUUAAGUGAACACAAAUGUUUACCUUGCUCUUGAAAGCACAGAAAGCCUCAAGCAGAAUCCUCUAAAAUGUCAAACCUGUAAGUUAUUGCAGCACUCUGGUGUCUCAGAGAGCUGAUGAUUCAACUAAGCUUUUCUAUACUUGUAGAAAUCUUCCCUGAUGGUUAAUUUCUCCCUUAUCAUCCUCCUUCUCUACUUUGUCCUGCAGGUGUAGCAGAGGUGAUAGUCCUGGUCGGAGGGCGUCAAACGAUCGGGAUGAACCAGCGCUCCCUGACAGCGGUCACCUGUUUCAACCCCCAGAACAGUAAGUGGUACCCGCUGGCCAGCCUGCCCUUCUAUGACCGAGACUUCUUCAGUGUCAUCUCAGCCGGAGACAACAUCUACCGGUCAGGUGAGCUGAAUAUACUGGGGGACGAUUGUAGCUUUACUGUUCGGCAAUAAGAUAACUUUUAUUCUGUUCAAAGAGUGAUUUUUGCAAAAAAAAAAGUCUGUUCUACUUUCUUUGGUCCUGACCUUUUUUCGCUGUCACUGCAGUGUUGUUCAGUUCAUUUAGCUCCAUACUGACUCACUGUGCUCUCUGUGACUUCCUCGAUGAAACACCUUGAAGUUGUCUCUCCAGAGAUAGACUGAAUUCCUCCCUCUGUGGAGACAGUGCUCAAACCUUGACAUUGCACUGUGGAAAUACAGCAGGAUUUAUCCUGUGUGUACCUGUCCUCUCCCUCUUUUCAUAUAAAUGUAAAUUUGUGUUUUGGGCAUUGGAGCAGGUCUGCAUGUGUCCGCUGGGAGUCAAGACAACCAGAGCAGAAGUCAGAGGUGUUCUAGUCAGCCAGUCAAGAAGUGCCAGUGUUGGCUGGUGUUAAAAAAAAUUACAGGGAGCUGAAACAAACACAGUUUAGAUGGUUGUUUGAUUCACUUGCCACACGGCUCUGUCAGCUCUUUGUUUGAGUUCUCCCUCAGUUUUAAAACUUCUGAGGGAAGUGUAUGUGUGAUAGAAAGCUCUACAUGAUUGGAGGACUGGGUGACUAGUGACGGGAAGAACAGUUCUUUUGACUGUACCUAAUCUUUAGAAUACGUUCAUUAAAAUGAUUCAUUCAAAAGAUUCCUUCACGAAAUCAGUCAGUGAUUCGGAGCCCCGUCCUGCUGGGUGUAGUACACAAGUGAGUGACACAGCAGCGCAGAUCAGAAGUUUGUUAGUUGAACAGGCCCCUCCCCUCCCCUGAUGCUGAAGUCACAGCUUCGUUCAAUGGAUGACACAUGUCGUUCAUUUGUCAAGUCAUGAAGAAAGAAUCACUCUUGUGCCCUGAAAAACUCACUUCUGUGUGUGCAACCGACGUUUGCAACACGGCACGAGUGAAGCAACACAGCUGCAAGCAGCAUGCCUGCUAAAAGAGCGUGAAUCUUCGUUUUUAUGUAUCACAGAUAAGUGGCGAGACUCACAGUGAACGAACCGGUGCUCAGAAGUUCGUGAACGUCGCUACGCUCCUCCCUCCUCUGCCUGCCUCAAGUCGUUCGGGAGUCGUUCAUUUCAUUUACUGUCUGUAUGAAACAUGUCGUUCAUUCUCUGUGAGCAAAUCACAAGACUCCGCCUGCCCACUCACUCGCUGGCUCGCUGUGCGUCGUUCACCAAAGAGUCACAUGCGGCAGUUCCACUCCUGACGGGCACACCAAGCUCGCGGCUGAGCUCAACUGAACUGAGAAAGGAACGAAUCAGUUUUUGGAGUGAUUCCAUUCACGUUGUUCCGUUCUUUCGAAUGAAUCGUUCAUGAACAACACAACACUAAGUGGGACUGUCAGGGACCUGGACUACAUGGAGAGGUGGGAGUCAUACAGCAUCGUCAACAGCAGCAGCAGCUCCCAGCUGGUGACACACACAGCUAUAACCUCGAUCUGACAGCCAUCUCAGCAAGUAGGGGUGACUCUGCAGAAAGAAAUCUAGUUUGCACAAAUAAAUAUUCACUCUGCGGUAAAUAUAGCAGGUGGUGUGUCAUGCGGGGAUGCGAUGCAGCAGCUUGUAAAAGUGAUUGGACAGGUUGGUUAGCAUUUUCAGAGAGCGGGAAAAGGGGAGUGAAUCCGAGCCGGGUGUGAGUGUCCUUGUGCAGCGACGGUUGGAGCACUUGUGUUUGUGAGUGAGAGCUUUUGCUUCCAGAGAGCAGAGGGACCAACUCUCUGAUUGCACCCACUUCAUGUAAAGGUCGUCCUCUGUGGCCUGUUCUGUGGGAACUCCUCAGACAGUUUCCCCCAUGGAGUACAAUGAACUCCUACUCACUUAAAGCAUGAAUAGACAUUGUUCUGAGUUAUACCUCUUGACUUUUAUCACUCUGCUUUUCAUUUCUCCUCACUCCUCUAACCUGAGCUGAGAAGCGAGUUUCAGCAGAGAGACUUCCUCCUCAUGCACGGCAAAGGACGACAAGCCAAAUUUGUUUAAAAUGUCUUACUUGACUACUCUUCAUUUUCCCCCAGACAGGGUGUAUCAAUGAAGACUUAGUUUGCAUUUACCUUUAUGUAAAGAAGAAUAUCUUGCUUCCGAUGAAAAGUAAAGACGGUGGAAGCUUUUAUUGGAAAAGAGCAGUUAUUUGUCGAGUCUCUGAGGCGAAACUAAAGCGCGGUGUUAUGCAUCAUUUACAAUAAAAGUUUUGUCAGACUAUACUUGUUUGAAUACAGCUAUCAUCCUCUGACAUUAUAUCAAAUAAAUGGUAUUCAUAAAGAGUGAAGGAGCACUGAUACUUUGUAGCCUAGCUCGGCAGAUAAAACAGCAGUUUGUCUUCAAAGACUCAAACAUUAACUUUUAUCUGAUACCUUUUUUUAAUAUAUAAAAUCUUUAUCAGAGACACUUCUUCCAGCUAUAUAACCUUACAAAGUCUUCUUAACCUUAAAAAUGCCCCUGCUCCCACACACAGCUGCCUGGUAUUUGCUUCCGACUUUGAAACAAACAAAAAACAGAAUAUUUUAACUAAACAUUAAAGCUCCUUUGUUCAUUUCUUCUCAUCUGCUUUGAUAAAUGAGCCCAGCUCAUGACCAAUCCUUCAUUUUAAGUUUGGUAGGUGUGUCUCUGCUCUAAGACUCAGCAGGCCUGGCUCCAGCUCAGCCCUUUAGGUCCAAAACUCUAAAGAUGAUGGGGACUCCAGCAGGGAGGCAGCCAGUCCACAGCAGGACUAAACCCUGACCGGAGAAGAUAAGGAAGCUGUUACUAAAUCCCCUUUUUUUGCCACUUCCCCCAGGAGGAAGAGCUGCACAGAUCUCAAGCACUUUGUGACAGAUAGAGGAGAUGAUAUGCAGGAAUCAUUAGUCAGUGAGGGUGAAUGGUUGCCUCAUUUGAAGUGCGCAUGGUCGCUGGGGUUGUGUUUGAAGGCUGGGAAACAGCAUGAAAUGUGAUCUGGGUAAAUUGAUUACACACAUGGAAACAUUUUUUCAGCCUGCAUUUCUUUGUGUCCUGCAAAACUAUGUCUAGAUACACCUUUAUGUCUCUGUUUAUUGUUUAUUUUGAUGCCUGCAUACAUCAGCCAUCUUCAGCCAGGGCUCUUCUCCUUCCUGCAGUUUGACUCCUAAUUUGCAGUCCUUCCUAUUCCCAUCACUCAAUCCAUCUCUCCAUCCAUCUCUCUGGGGGUUUCACGCUUCUAGCUGUGAAAUUCACCCACACUCGCAAUUACGUCUUCAUUCAGAGCCGUCCAAAAGCCAGUUGGAUGCUGCCUUUUCUUUGGGAACAACAGGAGGUCCGAAUCAGCGCUCAAAGGAGUCAGCGAGCUCAUUUAUGUCUCUGCUCUCCUCGCUGAUGACUGACAGAUUUUUAGGGACGGGGAGCGGCUGAGUUCAGGAGGCUUUGAACUUGUAAUUGGGUACUCUGGGCCUCAGCAUGUUUAUUCUUUGGCAAAACUCGACGUGAUUGCGGAUAUUGAAUAAUUCAUGGAUAUCUAAUGAUGUGUCAAUCACAGAUGGUUUUGUUUUAUUUAUCGGGCACUAUAACCAGGUUUAUGCGUCCUUCAGGCUCCAUUGCACGUUAAUAUUGCAUGAAGACCGUUUGUGAUAUGACGCUCGAUAUACCCAUCAGCUUUUCUUAUCAGGGAUGUUGAGUUGUUUGGUUAACAAGUCUGGAGGCGAGAGGAACAGUUAGCAAAGAUCACGUUCUCAGGGUCGUUUAUGGCUUUUCAAAAUAAAAUGACCUUUUGGACUGCAGUACGUCAGUAAUUGCGGCUGUAAUACACCUAAUUGGGAGCUCUAUUGUUCAGGUUAAUUAACUAACUAAGUGUCCCUGCUCUUUACAGUUACUGUAUGUGCUCUUGUAAAGGCACCCAAUGCCAAUUUCUGCUUUUUUUCAACCUUCAUGGAGGUUUUCACCUUGCUCUGACAAAAUGCCAUUAUCCUUUUCUUACUGCUUCAUUUGCAUGUUUGUGAUAAAUUCAACAGAUAAGUGCAACUUGAUGUGAACUUGAACCUGGUUCCCUAUACUCAAGCUUAAAUACAGGCCCAUUAUUAACCAAAGACAAAAGAAAGUUUGCAGCGUUGUCGCUUAGGUUUUGUUUCUGUACUCAGUAACAAUGGAACCAGCUAUAUAAGCUCCCUCUGUGCAGCAAUAAUCAAAUUUUUCUCUCACAUUUUUCAUCCUCUGCGAGUAAGUGUGUAGCUGGGUGGAUCUGUCCGUCUUGUAUGGGGUCAUAAUGAUCCUGGAGCUAGUUCAGGAGGUAGGGAAAGGUUGGCAAACCGGGUAAGACACUGUAGUCGUGGACAACAGGCUCCCAGACCCCCUGCUGAGCUGAUCCCCGCUUGUCAGGAUUAACCAACCUCACUGGGCUGCUCCCUAUUGUGCUGUCGAGGCACCAUUAAAGCCUCCAGCUCGAUCUCAGCACCACUCUCCUCAGUCUCUUUCUUUCAUCUCAAGAAAAGGAAAGCAAGGAUGUCUGCGAAGGCAUAUGUAACCCUGCUAUGAAUAUAAAAAUCUCUCAUCUCCAGUCCUCUGCCUCCUACCUCUUAUUCCUCUUGUCCCAUGAGAAAACUGUCAUGAAUUUAGGGAUGUGUGUGAACAAGCAAAAAGUUUUGGGUAAAAUGUUCAGAACUCUGCAGCAGCUUUGCCCCUAAAAUUGUCCAAAGUUGCACACCUGAAUAAGAUCUAUCUUUAACUAAUCAUAUCCUUAAGGGGUUAGGACAAGAUCAUCACAUCUCUCCUACAUACAAAAUAUCCUCCUCUCAAUCUCGCCCAUUUCCCCUGUUUUCUUAUUCUAUCCACCGUCUCUCCUCUCCUGCACCUUCUGUCCCGCUGUCCCCCUCGUCUCCUCGCAGUCCUGAUUAGGUGGGCAGGACUUGAUGGGUGUAUUUUGGGGCCUGAAAGGCAAAGGCGGUGUCUCCUCUUCCUUAUCUUCUAAUGGGUGCUGAGGUCUCUGAAAUAUGGAGGAGGAGGAUGCCAAGAGUGUGUGUGUGCGUGUGUGCAUGUGUGUGUGUGACAGUUAGAGAAACAUUGGCGAGCAGCAGCAGCGGUGCCUGAGGACGGUAUUAGUGAAAGGCAGAGAGAGGCUGCAGGUAAUGAGCAGUAUGAGCUCCAUGUGCUUCUCUUUCAUUGAUUAAUGAUGAGCUGGACUUUGAACAAUUUCCGGCUUUCACCAGCAGGCAGAUCAUUUUUCUCUCUCUCUUUCUUUCAGCUUUUGUGCUUUUUUCUACCCUCUUUUUUUCUCUCUUUCAACUUCCAUUUCUCUGUCCAGAUCACAAAGCCAGUUUUACACAUUUGAAACAUACUGUAUAUCUCAUCCUCUCUUGUAUAGGGCUGCAAUCCAGUUUUCCAUACAGCCAGCCUGCAGCAG
rnacentral:lncRNA from 1 species